rnacentral:rRNA from 1 species
UCUUGAGUGGAUCCUGAGUACGACGGAGCACGUGAAAUUCCGUCGGAAUCUGGGAGGACCAUCUCCUAAGGCUAAAUACUCUCUAGUGACCGAUAGUGAACCAGUACCGUGAGGGAAAGGUGAAAAGUACCCCGGAAGGGGAGUGAAAGAGAACUUGAAACCGUGUGCUUACAAGUAGUCAGAGCCCGUUAAUGGGUGAUGGCGUGCCUUUUGUAGAAUGAACCGGCGAGUUACGAUCUGAUGCAAGGUUAAGCAGAAAAUGUGGAGCCGUAGCGAAAGCGAGUCUGAAUAGGGCGUAUAGUAUUUGGUCGUAGACCCGAAACCAGGUGAUCUACCCAUGGUCAGGUUGAAGUUCAGGUAACACUGAAUGGAGGACCGAACCGACUUACGUUGAAAAGUGAGCGGAUGAACUGUGGGUAGCGGAGAAAUUCCAAUCGAACUUGGAGAUAGCUGGUUCUCUCCGAAAUAGCUUUAGGGCUAGCCUCAAGUGAUGAUUAUUGGAGGUAGAGCACUGUUUGGACGAGGGGCCCCUCUCGGGUUACCGAAUUCAGACAAACUCCGAAUGCCAAUUAAUUUAACUUGGGAGUCAGAACAUGGGUGAUAAGGUCCGUGUUCGAAAGGGAAACAGCCCAGACCACCAGCUAAGGUCCCAAAAUAUAUGUUAAGUGGAAAAGGAUGUGGCGUUGCCCAGACAACUAGGAUGUUGGCUUAGAAGCAGCCAUCAUUUAAAGAGUGCGUAAUAGCUCACUAGUCGAGUGACACUGCGCCGAAAAUGUACCGGGGCUAAACAUAUUACCGAAGCUGUGGAUUGUCCUUUGGACAAUGGUAGGAGAGCGUUCUAAGGGCGUUGAAGCAUGAUCGCAAGGACAUGUGGAGCGCUUAGAAGUGAGAAUGCCGGUGUGAGUAGCGAAAGACGGGUGAGAAUCCCGUCCACCGAUUGACUAAGGUUUCCAGAGGAAGGCUCGUCCGCUCUGGGUUAGUCGGGUCCUAAGCUGAGGCCGACAGGCGUAGGCGAUGGAUAACAGGUUGAUAUUCCUGUACCACCUAUAAUCGUUUUAAUCGAUGGGGGGACGCAGUAGGAUAGGCGAAGCGUACGAUUGGAUUGUACGUCUAAGCAGUGAGAUUGAGUGUUAGGCAAAUCCGGCACUCUUAAGAUUGAGCUGUGAUGGGGAGAGGAAAUUGUUUCCUCGAGUCGUUGAUUUCACACUGCCGAGAAAAGCCUCUAGAUAGAGAUUAGGUGCCCGUACCGCAAACCGACACAGGUAGUCAAGAUGAGAAUUCUAAGGUGAGCGAGCGAACUCUCGUUAAGGAACUCGGCAAAAUGACCCCGUAACUUCGGGAGAAGGGGUGCUCUUUAGGGUGCAAGCCCAGAAGAGCCGCAGUGAAUAGGCCCAAGCGACUGUUUAUCAAAAACACAGGUCUCUGCUAAACCGUAAGGUGAUGUAUAGGGGCUGACGCCUGCCCGGUGCUGGAAGGUUAAGAGGAGUGGUUAGCUUC